rnacentral:rRNA from 1 species
GACGAACGCUGGCGGCGUGCUUAACACAUGCAAGUCGAACGGAAAGGCCCUGUUUUUGUGCGGUGUUCGUGUGGCGCACAGGUGAGUAUCACGCGAGUAACCUCCCCUUUUCUUUGGGAUACCUCCUGGGAACUCGGGCUCUUAUCGGGUAUAAGCUCCUUCUGCACGGUGGGGGUUGGAGAGUUACGGCGUUUGGGGAUGGACUCGUGGUUUAUCAGCUUGUUGGUGGGGUAGUGGCGUAGCAGGGCUUCGAGGGGUAGCCGGCCUGAGAGGGUGACCGGCCACAAUGGGACUGGGAUACGGGCCAGACUGCUACGGGAGGCAGCGGUGAGAGACAUUGCGCGAUGGGCGGAAGGCGGAUGGAGCAACGCCGCGUGCGAGAUGACGGCCUGUGGGGUGUAACCCGCGUUCGCCUGGGACGAAGAGUGAGUGACGGUAAUGAGUAAGGAAGCAACGGCUAACUACGUG